CGUGAGUGUGUGUCUGUCAGUGAGUGUGUUUGCCAGUGAGUGUGUGUCAGUGUGUGUGUGUGUGUUGGUCAGUGUUGCAUUGGCUGCGACUGGACAGUAGAGUACCUGGAGGUGCAUGGAGGCACGCAACGCCACGUCACAUUCCGACAUGACAUAGACGUGCUCCACCUUCACAGGGUUUCAAGAGAUAACGAGAGGAUUAGAUUUGGCACAGGGUGCGAACAGCGCCAUUUGGGGUAUACAAGAGGCCGGUCUCCGGGGACUGGGAUUUAGUAGAGGGGGAUGCGUUUUUUUGUU